rnacentral:miRNA from 1 species
CUGGUUUUCCCAAUGAUCAUCCA